AUAUUGCACAAUGGGGGAAACCCUGAUGCAGCGACGCCGCGUGAAGGAUGAAGUAUUUCGGUAUGUAAACUUCUAUCAGCAGGGAAGAAAAUGACGGUACCUGACUAAGAAGCCCCGGCUAACUACGUGCCAGCAGCCGCGGUAAUACGUAGGGGGCAAGCGUUAUCCGGAUUUACUGGGUGUAAAGGGAGCGUAGACGGUUUUGCAAGUCUGAAGUGAAAAACCGGGGCUCAACCCCGGGAUUGCUUUGGAAACUGUGGAACUAGAGUACCGGAGAGGCAAGUGGAAUUCCUAGUGUAGCGGUGAAAUGCGUAGAUAUUAGGAGGAACACCAGUGGCGAAGGCGGCUUGCUGGACGGUAACUGACGUUGAGGCUCGAAAGCGUGGGGAGCAAACAG
rnacentral:rRNA from 1 species